rnacentral:rRNA from 1 species
GUACGUAGGGGGCGAGCGUUGUCCGGAAUGAUUGGGCGUAAAGGGCGCGUAGGCGGCGCGGUAAGUCUGGAGUGAAAGUCCUGCUUUCAAGGUGGGAAUUGCUUUGGAUACUGUCGGGCUUGAGUGCAGGAGAGGUAAGUGGAAUUCCCAGUGUAGCGGUGAAAUGCGUAGAGAUUGGGAGGAACACCAGUGGCGAAGGCGACUUACUGGACUGUAACCGACGCUGAGGCGCGAAAGUGUGGGGAGCAAACAGGAUUAGAUACCCUGGUAGUCCACACGGUAAACGAUGAAUGCUAGGUGUAGGGGGUAUCGACCCCUUCUGUGCCGCAGUCAACACAAUAAGCAUUCCGCCUGGGGAGUACGGCCGCAAGGUUGAAACUCAAAUGAAUUGACGGGG